rnacentral:rRNA from 1 species
UACGGGGGGGGGCAAGCGUUGUUCGGAAUUACUGGGCGUAAAGGGCUCGUAGGCGGCCAACUAAGUCAUACGUGAAAUCCCUCGGCUUAACCGGGGAACUGCGUCUGAUACUGGAUGGCUUGAGUUCGGGAGAGGGAUGCGGAAUUCCAGGUGUAGCGGUGAAAUGCGUAGAUAUCUGGAGGAACACCGGUGGCGAAGGCGGCAUCCUGGACCGAUACUGACGCUGAGGAGCGAAAGCCAGGGGAGCAAACGGGG